AAUCUUGCGCAAUGGCCUAACGGCUGACGCAGCGACGCCGCGUGAGGGAUGACGCUCUUCGGAGUGUAAACCUCUUUUGCCCGGGACGAAUUGCCAACAUCAGUUGGCUUGACGGUACCGGGUGAAUAAGCACCGGCUAACUCCGUGCCAGCAGCCGCGGUAAUACGGGGGGUGCGAGCGUUGUCCGGAAUCACUGGGCGUAAAGGGCGCGUAGGUGGUCUUAUAAGGGUGUGGUGAAAGCCCGGGGCUCAACCCCGGGUCGGCCGUGCCGACUGUAAGACUAGAGUGCUGUAGGGGCAGGCGGAAUUCCGGGUGUAGCGGUGGAAUGCGUAGAGAUCCGGAGGAAGACCGGUGGCGAAGGCGGCCUGCUGGGCAGACACUGACACUGAGGCGCGACAGCGUGGGGAGCAAACAGGAUUAGAUACCCUGGUAGUCCACGCCGUAAACGAUGGGUACUAGGUGCCUGGGGGAGCGACCCCUUGGGUGCCGGCGCUAACGCAG
rnacentral:rRNA from 1 species